GUGUGUAUGUACAUGUGAAACUAAUGUGUGUGUGUGUGUAUGUACAUGUGAAACUAAUGUGUGUGUGUAUGUGUGUGUGUGUGUAUGUGUGUGUGUGUGUAUAAUUCUGUACGUAUAACACUCUCUCUCUGUGUGUGUAUAGCUAUGGGGUUGAAUGCGCUGUGUGUGUGUGUGUGUGUGUGUGUGUGUGUGUGUGUGUGUGUGUGUGUGUGUGUGUAUAAUCUCUCUCUCUCUGUGUGUGUGUGUAUAAUUCUGUACGUAAAGCACUCUCUGUGUGUGUGUAGCUAUGGAGUUGAAUGCGCUGGGCCUGCUGGUGGGCGGGACUCUCCUCCUGUCCAUCAUCAUGCUGAUUGGCCAGUGCCUGAGCUGCAGGAGACACCCCAAUGUCAUCAACCAACGGCCAGACGAUUCAGACUACACACAGUAAGACUGACCCCCGUGUGUGUGUGUGUGUGUGUGUGUGUGUGUGUGUAUGUGUGUGUUUAAUAUGUGAAUGUGUGUGUGUGUGUUUAAUAUAUGUGUGUGUGGUGUGUUUAAUAUGUGUAUGUGUAUCUGUGUGUUUAAUAUGUGUGUGUGUGUGUGUCUGAGUGUAUAUGUGUGUGUGUGUGUGUGUGUGGUGUGUGUGUGUCUGUGUGUGUGUGUGUGUGUGUGUGUGUGUGUGUGUUUAAUAUGUGUGUGUGUGUCACAGGAGUGGAGCUGAGAGUUUCAUAGUGCCGAGGCCAGGGACACGAGUGUGUAAGUGACCAGAGAACACACACUAUAGAUGAUGAUGAUGAUGAUGAUGGUGAUGGUGAUGAUGAUGAUGGUGAUGGUGAUGAUGAUGAUGAUGGUGGUGAUGAUGAUGAUGAUGAUGAUGGUGAUGAUGAUGGUGGUGAUGAUGAUGAUGAUGGUGGUGAUGAUGAUGAUGAUGAUGAUGAUGAUGGUGAUGAUGAUGAUGAUGAUGAUGAUGAUGAUGAUGAUGGUGAUGAUGAUGAUGAUGUUUUUGUGUACUCAGACUCA
rnacentral:lncRNA from 1 species